UGAGCGAUGAAGAUUGGUGCUUGCACCAAUUUGAAGAGCAGCGAACGGGUGAGUAACGCGUGGGGAAUCUGCCUUUGAGCGGGGGACAACAUUUGGAAACGAAUGCUAAUACCGCAUAAUAACUUUAAACACAAGUUUUAAGUUUGAAAGAUGCAAUUGCAUCACUCAAAGAUGAUCCCGCGUUGUAUUAGCUAGUUGGUGAGGUAAAGGCUCACCAAGG
rnacentral:rRNA from 1 species